rnacentral:rRNA from 1 species
AUUACCGUACCAAACCAAUGCAGGUGGGCGGGUUGGGUAUACUCAGGUGAUCGAGGCAACGGCGUUUAAGGAACUCGGCAAAUUGACUCUGUAACUUUGGGAGGAGGAGUGCUCUUUUUCUAGAGUGUAAUAAACAAGGGGGGAGCGACUGUUUACUAAAAACACAGGACUCUGCGAAAUAGCAAUAUGACGUAUAGGGUCUGACGCCUGCCCGGUGCCGGAAGGUUAAAAGGAGAUGUGA